rnacentral:rRNA from 1 species
AGUGAACGCUGGCGGUAGGCCUAACACAUGCAAGUCGAACGGCAGCACCGUAAGAGCUUGCUCUUACGGGUGGCGAGUGGCGGACGGGUGAGGAAUACAUCGGAAUCUACUUUUUCGUGGGGGAUAACGUAGGGAAACUUACGCUAAUACCGCAUACGACCUACGGGUGAAAGCAGGGGAUCUUCGGACCUUGCGCGAUUGAAUGAGCCGAUGUCGGCUUAGCUAGUUGGCGGGGUAAAUGCCCACCAAGGCGACGAUCCGUAGCAGGGUUGAGAGGCUGAGCCGCCACACUGGAACUGAGACACGGUCCAGACUCCUACGGGAGGCAGAAGUGGGGAAUAUUGGACAAUGGGCGCAAGCCUGAUCCAGCCAUACCGCGUGGGUGAAGAAGGCCUUCGGGUUGUAAAGCCCUUUUGUUGGGAAAGAAAAGCAGCAUGUUAAUACCCCGCUGUUCUGACGGUACCCAAAGAAUAAGCACCGGCUAACUUCGUG